CUCUCCGCCCUCGGCGCUGCCGUCCCCAACGCCGCAGAGCUCAGCGCCGAGCACAAGGCCAACCUCGUGGAGUCGAUUAAGAACACGCUGCAGGGAUUGGCGGCCCGGCACACGGACGUGCUCGAGAGCCUGGAGCCCAAGGUCAGGAAGCGGGUCGAGGCGCUCAGAGAGAUCCAGGUAUAA